GCUUUCGGUGUCGGGCAUUGUGGGAAGGCAGGAUGGGCGGCGGGGAGCGCACCUGGCACUGAGGGGGGAGGGAGCCGGGGCGAGCCGCCCGGAGCAGGGACCAUGAUACACUUUAUACUGCUGUUCAGCCGACAAGGGAAAUUAAGACUUCAGAAGUGGUACAUAACGUUACCUGACAAAGAGAGGAAAAAGAUCACCCGGGAAAUUGUUCAGAUUAUUCUGGCUCGCAGUCAAAAGAUGAGCAGUUUUGUCGACUGGAAAGACCUAAAGCUAGUUUACAAAAGGUAUGCUAGUUUAUAUUUUUGCUGUGCAACAGAAGACCAGGAUAAUGAGCUGCUGACACUGGAGGUUGUUCAUCGUUAUGUAGAACUACUGGACAGGUAUUUUGGAAAUGUGUGCGAGCUGGAUAUUAUCUUUAAUUUUGAAAAGGCUUAUUUUAUUCUUGAUGAGUUUAUAAUGGGUGGAGAAAUACAAGAAACAUCAAAGAAAUCAGCAGUGAAAGCCAUAGAAGAUUCUGAUAUGUUACAAGAGACAAUGGAGGAAUAUAUGAACAAACCUGCAUUUUAACUUUAAAACCUUCUGGAGGGACAGAGAUGCUGCUUACUAUCUGUAAAAUUCACUUGUUGAAAUUGCUUUUCUAUGUGCCAGAUCCUCUGAGAAAUACCAAAAACCAAUAACUAAAGGGAUUUGUGUAGUAGUCAAAAUGAAGGUCAGCUCCAGUAGUGUAUAUUGUUCUACCUAGGAGUUUCUUAAAACUGUUAUUACACUUAAUCUAGCCACUAUCCUCCUCCUAGACUUAAAAACUAGUUUUAUACAAUGGCUUUUAGCUAUGAACUUUUCAGUCGCAGAAAAUAUUUGCAAAAGAUAUUUAUACUAGUUUUGAUCCAUCACUGAUUGCAUCAGUAUACUUUUGUAAUAGUAUAUUUUUUGAAUGUAAUGAUUAUUCUGGUCUAAUACUAAUAAUUUUUCUUAAAAGCUGAGUUGUUUUUUUUAUGGAGUCUGCUUUGAAGACGUGUUAACACUUAAAAUGCAUAUGCAUCUCUUCAGCUCACCCUCUCCUGCCACUUCCUAGUAGGAGUACUAUCUUCCUUCUACCACCGGCUCUUCCACCCAAUAAAAGGAGAGCACUUCCACCCCCUAAGCACACCACCUCCACUUAGUACUAGAAGCCCACAUUCCUAGUCUAAGCCCUGGUCUACACUAGGACUUUAGGUCGAAUUUAGCAGCAUGAAAUCGAUGUAAACCUGCACCCGUCCACAUGAUGAAGCCCUUUAUUUCGACUUAAAGGGCUCUUAAAAUCGAUUUCCUUACUCUACCCCUGGCAAGUGGAUUAGCGCUUAAAUCGGCCUUGCCGGCUCGAAUUUGGAGUACUGUGGACACAAUUUGACGGUAUUGGCCUCCGGGAGCUAUCGCAGAGUGCUCCAUUUUGACCGCUCUGGACAGCACUCUCAACUCAGAUGCACUGCCCAGGUAGACAGGAAAAGAACCGUGAACUUUUGAAUCUCAUUUCCUGAUUGGCCAGCGUGGCAAGCUGCGGGUGACCAUGCAGAGCUCAUCAGCAGAGGUGACCAUGCAGAGCUCAUCAGCAGAGGUGACCAUGAUGGAGUCCCAGAAUUGCAAAAGAGCUCCAGCAUGGACUGAACGGGAGGUACGGGAUCUGAUCGCUGUAUGGGGAGAGGAAUCCGUGCUAUCAGAACUCCGUUCCAGUUUUCGAAAUGCCAAAACCUUUGUCAAAAUCUCCCAGGGCAUGAAGGACAGAGGCCAUAACAGGGACCUGAAGCAGUGCCGCGUGAAACUGAAGGAGCUGAGGCAAGCCUACCAGAAAACCAGAGAGGCGAACGGCCACUCCGGGUCAGAGCCCCAAACAUGCCGCUUCUAUGAUGAGCUGCAUGCCAUUUUAGGGGGUUCAGCCACCACUACCCCAGCCGUGUUGUUUGACUCCUUCAAUGGAGAUGGAGGCAAUACGGAAGCAGGUUUUGGGGACGAAGAAGAUGAUAGCUCACAGCAAACAAGCGGAGAAACCGGUUUUCCCGACAACCAGGAACUGUUUCUUACCCUGGACCUGGAGCCAAUACCCCCCCGAACCCACCCAAGGCUGCCUCCUGGACCCAGCAGGCGGAGAAGAGACCUCCGCUGCAUGUGUUUCAGUGAUCACAGGAUCUUCUCCUUCCCAGAGGCUAGUGAAGAUUAGAAAGAAAAAAAAACGCACUCGAGAUGAAAUGUUCUCCGAGCUCAUGCUGUCCUCCCACACUGACAGAGCACAGACGAAUGCGUGGAGGCAAAUAAUGUCAGAGUGCAGGAAAGCACAAAAUGACUGGGAGGAGAGGUGGCGGGCUGAAGAGAGUAAGUGGCGGGCUGAAGACAGGGCUGAAGCUCAAAUGUGGCGGCAGCGUGAUGAGAGGAGGCAGGAUUCAAUGCUGAGGCUGCUGGAGGACCAAACCAGUAUGCUCCAGUGUAUGGUUGAGCUGCAGCAAAGGCAGCUGGAGCACAGACUGCCACUACAGUCCCUGUGUAACCAACCGCCCUCCUCCACAAGUUCCAUAGCCUCCACACCCAGACGCCCAAGAACGCGGUGGGGGGGCCACCGGCCAACCAGCCACUCCGCCACAGAGGAUUGCCCAAAAAAAAGAAGGCUGGCAUUCAAUAAAUUCUAAAGUUGUAAACUUUUAAAGUGCAGUGUGGCAUUUUCCUUCCCUCUUCCACCACCCCUCCUGGGCUACCUUGGUGGUCAUCCUCCUAUUUGUGUGAUGAAUGAAUAAAGAAUGCAUG